GUAGUCCUGGCUGUAAACGAUGCCCACUAGGUGUGGGGGAGUAUUUCCUCCGUGCUGUAGCUAACGCGUUAAGUGGGCCGCCUGGGGAGUACGCCCGCAAGGGUGAAACUCAAAGGAAUUGGCGGGACCCCGCACAAGCGGUGGAGCGCGUGGUUUAAUUGGAUGCUGAGCCAAGAACCUUACCAGGGCUUGACAUGCAGGUGGUACCGACCCGAAAGGGGAGGGACCCCAUCCUUUUGGGUGGGGAGCCUGCACAGGUGGUGCACGGCCGUCGUCAGCUCGUGCCGUGAGGUGUUGGGUUAAGUCCCGCAACGAGCGCAACCCCUGCCCUUAGUUGCCAUCGGUUCGGCCGGGCACUCUAAGGGGACUGCCGGCGACGAGCCGGAGGAAGGAGGGGACGACGUCAGGUACUCGUGCCCUUUAUGCCCUGGGCUACACACGCGCUACAAUGGGUGGUACAGUGGGUUGCGACCCCGCGAGGGGGAGCCAAUCCCUAAAACCACCCCCAGUUCGGAUCGCAGGCUGCAACCCGCCUGCGUGAAGCCGGAAUCGCUAGUAAUCGCGGAUCAGCCACGCCGCGGUGAAUACGUUCCCGGGGUUUGCACACACCGCCCGUCAAGCCACCCGAGCCGGGGGCACCCGAAGACGCCCAUCCUAACCCGAAAGGGAGGGAGGGCGUUGAGGGUGAAUCUGGUGAGGGGGGCUAAGUCGUAACAAGGUAGCCGUACUGGAAGGUGCGGCUGGAUCACCUCC
rnacentral:rRNA from 1 species